UCGCAGCCUGACUCAGCGCGGCUCAGAGCGCCUGCGCGACUGGAGGCGGCGAGGAGAGAGGAAGAGAGGACGCGACGCGGGCGGGGCACGAUGGAGAAACUGAGUCUCGGGAGGCUGACUUGCCUAGGAUAUCCCUGAUCCCGGCAGAACCAGGAUUCAAGCCCAGGCCACAAGGCCUCCACGGAGAAUGCCCAGAAUUGCCCGGAGUGCCUUGGCUAGAACGCUCAUGUUCACGUCCAGGGCCGGCAGACACCAACUACGGAGAUGCAGCAGGGCUGUCAGGGCCUGAUGCCAUCAAGCAACCACCCUUCCAUGUUCAGGCGCCACACGCCCCGGGCAGACUCGGUAACCUGCCCGACCGGCCUGACAGCAGAGGAGGACGCACUGCUCAGCCGGGGAGAUGAUCAGAUGAUCGCAUUCAGGUGGACCAACACCUCGGACCACCGUAACGUCAAGAGCGUGACACUGUGUAGCCAGUUGGAGAAAGCCGUGCCCACAGAAGGAAUCCUUGUGACUCUGGGAGGCGUAACCCUGUUUCAAGGUCAAAUUUGCCUUUUCAAGCACAAAUUCAACUGUAUGACAGCACAGAUGUCUUUCUGUCCUCGGGAGUUGGCAAUCUGGGUAAAGAUUCAGAUGGGUGAACACCCCCCUUUCCUGAGAGGAGACAGGGCUGGCAAUUUCUGAGCAAUCUCUUCUCCCCUCGUCUCCACGGAGGAUCACAAAGGUAUGCUUUGUAAUGACACUUUUAAAUUUGAGACCCAGGGGACACCUGGCUGGCUCAGUCAGUUCAGCAUCUGCCUUCGGCUCAGGUCAUGAUCCCAGGGUCCCCGAGCCCCACAUCCCACAUUGAGCAUCCUGUUCAGUGGGGAGUCUGCUUCUCCCUCUGCCUGCUGGUCCCUCUGCUUGUGCUCUCCCUCUCUCUCUGACAAAUAAAUAAAUAAAUAAAAUCUUAAAUAAAAUGUAAAUAAAUAAAUAAAUUUGAGACCAGAAUCCUUCACCAAGGGGACCCCCGUGCAGUGCCUGACUCCUUCAGAGGCUCUCCAAGGUCAGUUCUGAUAAAGUUACUUCGUAUAUAUUGCAACCCACAAAAGGGAGGCCUAAGUCACAAAUCGAAACCUAAAUCAGCCCGCCCUUAUGGGAAACACCUGUCAGGGAAACAUAUACCAGUUGUGGGCCUCCAGCUCCACUUUAGCUAGCUUUCUGUAUCCUAGGAAACAGGAUCUGCCAGCUUUAGAAAGAAAUCCCAACCUCCCAGCCAAUCAUGCCCUGUUUCCUCUUUGUCCCUUUCAAGGCUAGAAAACCAGCUCUUCUCCCAAAUCCCUCCAGAAGGGAGCUCCACUGCUUGCGAGGCACUGUUCCUGCCCAAUCCCUGCACUGUUUUCUCUUGAAUAAAGGA